AGUAACAGCUGUCUCCCAAGCUCACUUGGCUGGAGAUGGUCCACAGCAAACAUGCUGAGCUGCUUCUCCACUUUGAGAGGCCACAGCCUCAGGACCCCAGGUAGAGAAAGUAUCUGUGAAAGAUUAAGAAGACAGCUGACUCCAUCCAGAUGCCGCAUGACUGUCACAAACACCCCAGGGAUGGUCUCCCCAGGAGUGACCACCAGUGACCUACCAAAAUCAAGGGGCUUUGCUGAUGUUCAGGAGUGUCCAUUCUUUCAAAAUGUGGACUGGGACAUGAUGGAGCAAAAAAAUCUCAUAAAACAGAGUUGGUCUCAAGGCCUGAUCUGCAGGGCAUACCCCUGUGGCAUGUUAUCAGCAACAAGCAGACUGUGUGUGAAGUCCUGGACCUUCUGCGUUGGAUCAGCUCAGCUCUCCGCCUAUCUGCUGCACUUUUGUGGAUGGCUUGUUGGUUGAUGAAAGACACGCAACCUCACCAGACACUGAGAUGUGGCGUGAAGAAGCAAACACUCCUGUGUUGAAACUUCUGUGCUUAUUCAAUAAUAAAUCAUGCAAGUAAUGC